UACGGAGGGAGCUAGCGUUGUUCGGAAUUACUGGGCGUAAAGCGCGCGUAGGCGGCUUUGUAAGUUAGAGGGGAAAGCCCGGGGCUCAACUCCGGAACUGCCUUUAAGACUGCAUCGCUAGAAUCCGGGAGAGGUGAGUGGAAUUCCGAGUGUAGAGGUGAAAUUCGUAGAUAUUCGGAAGAACACCAGUGGCGAAGGCGGCUCACUGGACCGGUAUUGACGCUGAGGUGCGAAAGCGUGGGGAGCAAACAGG
rnacentral:rRNA from 1 species